GAGAACCGAGAGGAUCCCGGAGCCGCGUGAUGACCAUGGGCCUGCGGGCCCCCCACUGGGUGGCUGUGGGACUGCUGACCUGGGCGGCUUUGGGGCUGCUGGUGGCCGGACACGAGGGUCAUGGUGACCUGCACAAAGAUGUGGAAGAGGACUUCCAUGGCCACAGUCACGGGCACUCACAUGAAGAUUUCCACCAUGGCCACAGCCACGGGCACUCGCAUGAAGAUUUCCACCAUGGCCACGGCCACACUCAUGAAAGCAUCUGGCAUGGGCAUGCCCACAGCCACGACCAUGGACACUCACGUGAGGAAUUACACCAUGGCCAUAGCCAUGGCCACUCCCACGAUAGCCUCCACCACGGAGGACAUGGACAUGCCCAUCGUGAACAUAGCCAUGGGACUUCUAGGGAGGCUGGGGCUCCAGGCAUCAAACACCACCUGGACACUGUCACCCUCUGGGCCUACGUGAGUCGCCAGGGGAUGUGGGGAAGAGGGACUGGUUCUUAAUCGGUGGGAAGCUCCAUCUUUGCCUUCUGAUUGUGCUUCUCCACCAGGCACUGGGGGCCACAGUGCUGAUCUCCGCAGCUCCGUUCUUCGUGCUGUUCCUCAUCCCAGUAGAAUCUAACUCUCCCAGGCACCGCUCUCUGCUCCAGAUCCUGCUCAGUUUUGCUUCCGGGGGGCUCCUGGGUGAUGCGUUCCUCCACCUCAUCCCGCAUGCCUUGGAACCUCAUUCUCACCACGCUCCAGAGCAGCCUGGACAUGGACACUCCCACAGUGGCCAGGGCCCCAUUCUCUCUGUGGGGCUGUGGGUUCUCAGUGGGAUUGUCGCCUUCCUCGUGGUGGAGAAAUUUGUGAGACACGUGAAAGGAGGACAUGGACACAGUCACGGACACGGAGACAGGCAUGCGCAUGGAGACAGUCACACCCAUGGAGAUAGACAUGAGUGUUCUUCAAAGGAAAAGCCCAGCACAGAGGAAGAGAAGGAAGUGGGCGGGUUGCGGAAAAGGAGAGGAGGAAACACUGGGCCCAGAGAUGGCCCGGUGAAACCUCAGAGCCCUGAAGAAGAAAAAGCAGGCUCAGACCUGCGUGUGUCUGGGUACCUGAAUCUGGCUGCUGACUUGGCACACAACUUCACAGACGGUCUGGCCAUUGGUGCUUCCUUUCGUGGGGGCCGAGGGCUAGGGAUCCUGACCACAAUGACAGUCCUGCUGCACGAAGUGCCUCAUGAGGUUGGGGAUUUUGCCAUCCUGGUCCAGUCUGGCUGCAGCAAGAAGCAGGCGAUGCGUCUGCAACUCGUGACUGCAAUUGGAGCAUUGGCAGGCACUGCCUGUGCCCUUCUCACCGAGGGAGGGGCAGUGGACAGUGACGUGGCAGGUGGUGCAGGUCCUGGCUGGGUCCUGCCAUUCACUGCAGGCGGAUUUAUCUACGUAGCAACAGUGUCUGUGCUGCCUGAGCUAUUGAGAGAGGCAUCUCCACUGCAGUCACUGUUGGAGGUGCUGGGGCUGCUGGGGGGUGUUGCCAUGAUGGUACUGAUUGCCCAUCUUGAGUGAGGGGUGAGGUGACCUGUCCUUCCCCUAACUCCUAAUAAAGGCAGUUGGUAGUCCUGGCCAGUGCUAAUGCCAGAAGGAGUGUCAGCCUUGGAGAUUAGCAGAGCCUCUGUUUGAGGCCUUAGAGGUAUGAGGAUCAUACGGAGCAUGAGAGGCCAGAAGGACCACGGAGUGGGAGACUGCCCAGCAGCGUUGUUGCUUUUGGAAAAAUCAAUGGGACCAUGAAGAAGACUGGGAAGACGGUAGCCUACCCGAUGGUCCCUAAUCUACGAUUUCUCAGCGCCAGCGUGCCGCAGGGGUCCCUCCAAGGCCCAUCUCCCUCUGAACUAGUUAGUGAUGGCUUCAGGGAAGACCUGGCAGAAGGACUGGGGUAGACAUCAAUCGUGUGUCCUGAUUUGAAGGGGGAGGGGGGCUCCUUGGGAAGAUGUCUCAGCCUGAUUUUUUGUCUCUACUCAUUUUAUACCACUGUUUGAAUGGGUGCGGAGGAACGGUGACCAGGAAUAAAAGACCUUGGAUCUUCGGCCCCACAUGCAGCCUUUGUCUUUAUGUGGGGAACUGGGCCCCUUGGCUCCUGGACUCCCUAGGUCCCCAAGUGGUGGUGGAUGGUCACGCCCCCGUGGUGGGAGGUCGCGCUGGUGGCUACCAAAGGCCUCUGACUAGUGUGGUUUCUAUUGGGUCCGUACCGGGCCUAGCCACGCCCCCGGCGUGCUCAGAUUGGCCUAGGCUCAGGGCACGCCCACCCACAGCCGCCAUGGCGUCUCAGCUCCGGCUCCGCUCUGCGCUGGCCCUGGUCACAGGUUCAGGGGUUCCCUCUCAGGGUGGGUUGGGGUGCCCGGGCCAUGUCAGCGAGAGCCACCCCUUGAGUCCCUGGCCCUGUUGUCUGAGUUUCAGUAACUUUGCGCCCCGUGACCUCUGACCUCCUCCCUUCUUCUCCCGCUUCCGCGGACUCCCAUCUCAGGUGCGGGUAGCGGCAUCGGCCGUGCGAUCAGCGUGCGCCUAGCGGCAGAGGGCGCCGCCGUGGCCGCCUGCGACCUGGACGGGGCCGCGGCACAGGACACGGUGCGGCUGCUGGGAAGCCCGGGGAGCGAGGACGGGGCGCCGCGCGGCAAGCACGCUGCCUUCCAAGCGGAUGUGUCUCAGGGCCCCGCAGCCAGACGCCUGCUGGAGGAAGUGCAGGUGAACCGGACGCCGCGCCGCGCCACGCCACGCCACGCCACACACCCCUCAGCCCGGCCCUUUGUGGUCUUUGGUGUUAGCCUCCCCCUCCCUCACAUAGGCCUGCUUUUCUCGCCCGCCAUCUGUCGUUGUGUCCUGUGCGGGCAUCACACGCGAUGAGUUUCUGCUCCACAUGUCAGAAGAAGACUGGGACAGAGUCAUAGCUGUCAACCUCAAGGUGGUGAUCUCUAAACCUGUGACUUGUGCCCGCCCCCAGCCUGGGGAAGUACUUAGAGGAAGGCUGCCACCGCAGCUGAUCUUGCCUAAUUUGUUACCCUCUCGUGCCAGGGCACCUUCCUAGUCACUCAGGCUGCAGCCCAGGCUUUAGUGUCCAGUGGCGGUCGUGGCUCCAUCAUCAACAUUAGUAGCAUCAUUGGAAAGGUGGGGAAUAUCGGACAAACGAAUUAUGCGUCGUCCAAAGCAGGAGUGAUUGGGCUCACCCAGACUGCGGCCCGGGAGCUUGGACGGUGGGUCAGACUGGGGACCUUGCUAAGGGAAGAAGAGUCAGUGUCCUUCCCGGGGUCAGCAUCCAUUCUUCCUCUCACAGACAUGGAAUCCGAUGUAACUCGGUCCUCCCAGGGUUCAUUGCAACGCCCAUGACCCAGAAAAUGCCAGAGAAAGUGAAGGACAAGGUAACUGCAAUGAUUCCGUUGGGACACAUGGGGGACCCUGAGGAUGUGGCAGAUGUGGUUGCAUUCUUGGCAUCUGAAGACAGUGGAUACAUCACAGGGGCCUCCGUGGAAGUCAGUGGAGGUCUUUUCAUGUAACUGCCUGAUGGAAGCCGGACUCUGCUCACUCCCCCACCACUGCCUGGCCCUCCUGCUGAUGAGGACGCUAAGUUCCCAGGCUACAAAAGAGAUGGCAGUGUGUGGCUCAGGCAUGCUGAAUAUGGAAGGCAGGGGUGCUUGUGACCCUAAUAAAUUCCAAAUCCUCUUCCCUGCC
ensembl:processed_transcript Gm20427 predicted gene 20427